CUCCUUUUGAAUCCUACUGCUGGCCAGGAAAUGCUUGAAGCUUCUGCAGCUGAUGGAUACAAAGCUCCUGAGCUUCUCAAAAUGAAAGAUGCAAGUGAACAGACUGAUAUGUACAGCCUUGGGAUAAUCUUGCUCGAACUACUUUCAGGGAAAGAACCAAUCAAUGAGAAUCCAACCCCUGAUGAUGAUUUUCAUCUGCCA
rnacentral:misc_RNA from 1 species